rnacentral:lncRNA from 10 species
GCAGUAUGCACAGCACCAGAUUUCUAAUCAGAAACCAUGAAGGCCAGAAGGAAAUGGCACAACAUUUUUUUUAAAAACUGUCAACCCAGAAUCCUAUAUCCAUCAAAAACUAUAUUUCAGGAAUGAAGGGGUAGUCAAGACAUUAUCAGAUGAAGCAAAGCUAAGAGGAUUUUUAGCCAACAGCUCUGCUAUAAAACAAUGGCUAAGAAAAUUCUCUAAACAGAAAGGAAAUGAUAGAAGGAUUCUUAGAACAUCAGGAAGGAAAGAAGAAUAUGAGGCUGUUUCCUAUUCUGUUGCCAAAACAAAAGCAGAGGAUGAGAAUUUUGAAAAAGGAAAACAGUCUGAGUCUCAAGAAGCCUAUGAGAAGGAAGAGAGGAAUGACUUGGUCAUGCCCAUGACAGAAAAGUGGCUUAGGGAUGUAAUGAGAGAAUACAAUAUGUAGAUGAUACACUAGAAUUCUUGUCCUUUGAAUUAGUAUUGGGUUGGCGCAAACAUGAUUGUAUUUUUGCCAUUGAAAGUAAGGCAAAAACUGCGAUUGCUUUUGCACUAACCUAAUAGAAUAAAAUCAUUUGAGCUAGAACAGAAAUGCUAGGCCACCCAGCUUCCUCCCUUUUUUAUAUCAAGCUACAUUUGCACAGCUUCUCUUAGAUAGUUUUAUUUACUUUAUGCCAUGUAGUUUCCUGCAAGAACAGAGCCUCAAUUAGGGAAUGAGUUAGAAAAUGUGGAAAAGUAAUAUCAAUCAGUUCAAAAGUACCUAUCUAAACCCAAUUUCAAUAUUGGAUUAAGCAAUUAUUAUAAACCCCAAACUAUGGAAAAUAAUUUGUUUUCAUAAUGGUCAAAGAUUGAGACAUACUUAACUCUAAUAGCUAUUUUUUUGAAAUGAAUAUUUGCUAUAGAAAUUGAAUUGAGGCUGUCAAUUAAACAAAACUAUAAAAUAAGGCUAAAAGUAAUAGCUGAUGUUUAUGAGAGUUUACAUCUCAAGGAUCUAUUACAUUUAAAAUGACAUUUGGUACGAAUCUAUGAGAAAUCGGAGAUAACCUGUGAGUCCAUCAGUAGGGGAAUGGCUUAUGCUACAUUGAGACAAUGAAAUCUGUUCAAGAGGAUAAGCAACUCUGUAUGUGUUGAUGGGGAAUCGUAGCUGCGACACAUGGUUGAGUGAAUAAAGCAAGUCAUGAAUAAUG